CCUACGGGAGGCAGCAGUAGGGAAUAUUGCUCAAUGGGGGAAACCCUGAAGCAGCAACGCCGCGUGGAGGAUGAAGGUUUUCGGAUUGUAAACUCCUUUUGUUAGAGAAGAUAAUGACGGUAUCUAACGAAUAAGCACCGGCUAACUCCGUGCCAGCAGCCGCGGUAAUCCGGAGGGUGCAAGCGUUCCUCGGAAUCACUGGGCGUAAAGAGCGCGUAGGCGGGUUAGCAAGUCCAAUGUUAAAUCCUAUGGCUUAACCAUAGAACUGCCUUUGAAACUGUCAGUCUAGAGUAGGGGAGAGGUAGGUGGAAUUCGUGGUGUAGGGGUAAAAUCCGUAGAGAUCAAGAGGAAUACUCAUUGCGAAGGCAGCAUACCGGCGCUACACUGACGCUCAUGCACGAAAGCGUGGGUAUCGAACAGGAUUAGAUACCCGUGUAGUC
rnacentral:rRNA from 1 species